UUUUAAAUAGUCUCACAGUAAUUUUACGAACUGCAGUACGUUUGACAUUAAAAUCGUUAUGAUUAAAUCAUUAUGUGAUGUAAAGAAAUUUUGGCAUUUUUGUAGACCGGUAACCAAUUGUAGACGCCAGUAUUGUGUGUUCUUAAAUGACCACAAGGUAGUGAUUCCGAAACAUUUGGUUAUGUCAGAUAAUUACUUGAGGUCGUGUUUGAAAACGGUGACUACAAUUUUAUCAUUCUGCCCAUCCAGACAGCAAGAUGGAUUAGAGACGGAGAGAAACGACUCACCAAUUAAAGUAACUUCAACCAAAAAUAAGAGACGUAGAAUUUUGAGCGAUAGUGAUGAAGAUGUGGAUGCCUCAACCAGCUUGUCACCACCAGGGAAGAGAAGUGUGUUGGCAAUUGAUCCUGCCCCUAAGCAGUAUGGAAAUAGAAACCAUUCUGUUGCCCCUGAAGGAAUUAUGCCGAGGAAGACAGCUCCCACUUCAUUCAGAGGAACGGAACAGCCAUUGGCAAGCGUUGCCAAGGUGGUUGAGGCAGCCAGAGCAGGCAGAGCUGAUACAGAAGGGGAACAGGUGAGUGUGCAGCAUAUGAAUGCAGAUGUUAAGAAAGAAGUGAAGAAUUGUAAAAAAGUUGACUCUGAAGAAAAUGUUGCCUCACAAGAAAGAGGGCCCAGUGUUAAAGAAGGGGCAGGUGAAGAGAAGAACCAGGCUACAGAAGGAAGCCACAUAGAGAAAGACAAGAACAAGAAAGUACCAUCAUCAAAAAAAACAGUUCGCAGCUUCUUCGCUCCCCAUAAAAGCACAAAUGCAACACAGCAAAGGAGAACAUCUCCAUCACCUGAGAAAGCCGGUAGUCUGUCUAGAAAACCAGCUGGUGGCAAUAAAAUGGCACCAAAGGAUGCUGGGAUGAAUUAUGACCCCACAAAACAAAGUUAUCAUCCCGUGGAUGAUGCAUGUUGGAGCAGAGGAGAUAAAGUGCCAUACCUUGCCUUGACAAGAACCCUGGAGGCAAUUGAAGGCGUGAGUGCUCGUCUCAAGAUAAUUGAAAUCUUGGCGAACUACUUUCGCUCAGUGAUGCUUCUCAGCCCAGAUGACUUGCUGCCCAGUGUGUACCUUUGCCUUAACAAGUUGGCUCCGGCCUAUGAAGGUAUUGAGCUUGGCAUAGCAGAGACAACUCUCAUGAAGGCUAUUGCACAGAGUACAGGAAGAACUAUUGCUCAAAUCAAGACAGAUGUUAAUAACACUGGAGAUUUGGGUAUUGUGGCUGAACAGAGUCGCAGCAAUCAGUGUAUGAUAUUCCAGCCUGCAAAACUUACUGUUCAGAGUGUGUUCAGCAAACUGAAGGAUAUUGCACAGAUGUCUGGCCAAUCUGCAAUGAGCAAGAAAGUGGACAAGAUUCAAGCAAUGUUUGUGGCAUGUCGACAUUCAGAGGCCCGUUUCCUCAUCCGCUCCCUUGCUGGCAAGCUGCGUAUCGGUCUUGCUGAACAGUCUGUGCUGCAGGCUCUUGCUGUUGCAUGCGCUACCACACCCCCAGAGCAGCCGUACCCCCCUGCAGUUAUCAAUGCAGCUAAGGGUAUGUCACAGGAUGCAUUUAAGGCUAAAGUGGAUGAAGAAGCACUUAUAUUGAAGGCUACUUAUAGUGAGUGUCCAAAUUAUAACAGGAUAAUUCCAGUGCUCUUUGAGAAAGGAAUCAGGGCUCUCCCCAACCACUGCCACCUCACUCCAGGAAUCCCCCUGAAACCAAUGUUGGCACAUCCUACUAAAGGUGUGCAGGAGGUGUUACAUCGAUUUGAGGAUCUCAAGUUCACUUGUGAAUGGAAGUACGAUGGUGAACGUGCUCAGAUACACCUCGCAGAAGAUGGAGCCGUAACUAUUUACAGUCGCAAUCAAGAAAACAACACCAGCAAGUAUCCAGACAUUAUUGGGCACUUUCAUAAGGCACUGGGCAAAGAUGUCACCUCAUGCAUCUUGGACUGUGAAGCUGUGGCAUGGGACAAGGAGAAACAGCAUAUCUUGCCAUUCCAAGUCCUUAGCACCCGCAAAAGAAAGGAUGCAAAUGAAGCGGAGAUAAAAGUUCAGGUUUGUGUCUUCAUGUUUGACCUCUUAUAUUUAAACGGGAAGGCAUUUGUACGAGAGCCUUUGUUCAAAAGACGCAACCUGCUUCGUGAAACGUUCCAUGAAGUGGAAGGAGAGUUUAGGUUUGCCACGAGUAUUGAUACCUCAACUAUGGAAGAAGUCCAAGACUUCUUGGAAGAAUCUGUUAAAGGGAACUGUGAGGGUCUAAUGGUGAAGACACUGGAAGAAGAUGCGACGUAUGAAAUUGCCAAAAGGUCACGAAACUGGCUGAAGCUGAAGAAGGAUUACCUUGAAGGUGUUGGAGAUACACUGGACGUGGUGGUCCUGGGAGGCUACUUGGGGCAUGGGAAGCGGGCAGGAACAUACGGAGGUUUCCUGUUAGCCUGUUAUGAUCGAGAGAGUGAAGAGUACCAAAGUUUGUGCAGGAUUGGCACAGGAUUCAGUGAUGAAGAUCUCCAGAAACACACAGAGUUCUUCAAGCAACAUGUGAUAGCACAGCCACGGCCAUACUAUCGGUAUGACAGCCAGCAUGAACCAGACCAUUGGUUUGAUGUGGUCCAGGUCUGGGAAAUAAAGUGUGCUGACUUGUCUCUGUCUCCUGUCCAUCGAGCUGCCGUUGGAAUUGUGGAUCCUGUGAAAGGAAUCUCAUUAAGAUUUCCUCGAUUUCUCAGGAUUCGUGAUGAUAAAGCAGUUGAAGAUGCUACCACAGCAUCACAGGUGGCUGAACUCUAUGGAAGCCAGGAGCAGAUCAAGAAUCAGCAGGGCUCCAGUAAAUUUGCUGAAGAGGACUUCUAUUAGGAGGGCUACAUAUCGUCUGAUUUUGCCAUUCAGUUUUCACAAGUUUCUGUAUCAGUAAUCAUGUACCUUGCAAGUGGAUGCAGUUUCAAAUACCUACAUUACAGCUAUCGAGUAGGUAGAUCAACAGCCAGUCAAGUCGUACGAAUAGUUUGUCAAAUUAUCUGGCACGUACUGAAAGAAGAAUGCUUUCAUACUCCAAAUGAGGCCACAUGGGCUAGAAUUGCGCAAGAUUUUCAAAAUACAGCAUCUUUCCCCAACUGUCUUGGGGCAGCUGACGGCAAGCAUAUCCGUAUAGUUAAACCUGAACGAAGUGGGUCGUUGUACAUGAAUUACAAACAUUUUUCCAUUGGGUUAAUGGCAAUAGCCGAUGCAAGUUACAGGUUCACUUAUGUUGACAUGGGUUCUUUCGGCAAAGGCUCAGACUCCACUAUAUUCAAGAAUUCUUCGCAUUGGAAACAAAUGGAGCUCGGCCUUCUAAGAAUUUCUCCACCUAAACAGCUGCCUGGAAGUAAUGACGCAGUACCAUUUGCUUUUGUGGGGGAUGAAGCAUUUGCAUUGUCUAUGCAUCUGUUACGACCAUAUUCUGGUACACAUUUGCCAGUACAGAAACGUGUCUUCAGCUACAGAUUAUCGCGAGCUAGACACUAUGUGUUCCUUUGGCAUUCCGUCAAAUAAAUGGAGAAUAUUUCACAGGCCACUGGAUGUAAACGUUGAUUUUGCAGUUGACAUUGUCAAAUGCUGUUAUAUUUUACAUAACUUUGUACGUGAUCAAGAUGGGUUCAAUUUGGAUGAUUCCUUGACUUUGUGGUUUAGAAGAGAGGCCUACCGUUAGUAGUUUUGUUGUAAAUAAAACACCACACGUUUUCGAGAUAUGUUGACUAAAUAUUUUGUUAGUGAUAGUGGUAAAUUGCCAUGGCAGCUUGAGAGGAUUAAGAAAGAGCCUAACUUCAUAUUCCCAUGUAAAAGCAUGUAAACAAUAACAUUAGAACAAUACAAAGUACCCGUUGUAGCAUGGUAUUGUACUCACCAAUUAAUUUUUGUUGGUCUUGAGACUGGUUGUCAUAGUCUUCAAAUAAAAUCUUCAAUGCUUCAACCCAA